AUGCUACAGGAUAAAGAUGGGGUUGGAUCCAAUAACUGUUAGGUGAAGGACCCAAUAAUAAUUUUGUAUUGUGUUGAAUGAUGGGUCUGACUUAACUAAGAAUAGGGCCAAUAACUGUCAAGUAAGGCCUACAUAACUUAGAGACCAGUUACUGCUGCAACAUAGUUGAGAAGUAUUGGAUAAGAAUUAUCCAUUUAUUGAUUUGCAUAUCAUCAAUAACUAUCAGAUGAGGUGUGCAUAGAUCGAUGGGACCGUAGUAUCCACUUGAAAUCCUAGUCACAAAGGAUUUUUAUCUCUCUACCUG
rnacentral:lncRNA from 1 species